rnacentral:rRNA from 1 species
GACGAACGCUGGCGGCGUGCUUAACACAUGCAAGUCGAACGGUGACCCUCGGAGCUUGCUUCGGGGUGAGCAGUGGCGAACGGGUGAGUAACACGUGAGUAACCUGCCCCUGACUCUGGAAUAAGCGCUGGAAACGGCGUCUAAUACCGAAUACGACACGCCUCCGCGUGGGGAGCGUGUGGAAAGUUUUUCGGUCUGGGAUGGACUCGCGGCCUAUCAGCUUGUUGGUGAGGUAAUGGCUCACCAAGGCGAUGACGGGUAGCCGGCCUGAGUGGGUGACCGGCCACACUGGGACUGAGACACGGCCCAGACUCCUACGGGAGGCAGCAGUGGGGAAUAUUGGACAAUGGGCGGAAGCCUGAUCCAGCAACGCCGCGUGAGGGAUGACGGCCUUCGGGUUGUAAACCUCUUUCAGCGGGGACGAAGCCUUUGGGUGACGGUACCCGCAGAAGAAGCACCGGCCAACUACGUGCCAGCAGCCGCAGUAACAC